UAUGAUUGGUAUCAUUGCUAUAUUUCUUCUUAUCGUGCACUAAAGAGAAAAUUUUCCUAAAUGAAUCGUGAUAUUUCAGAACCACAAUUCUUUUUAUGAUUCAUAAUGAAUUGAGAAAUUUUAUAUGCUUGAAUUAAUAUCUUAUUCUAAGAUUGAAUGAAUUUUAUCUAUAUCAUGAUCUCCUAAGAUUUUUUCUUGAUUAUUUAAGAGGAGAUUUUUCAAAACAAAAU
rnacentral:lncRNA from 1 species